CCUACGGGAGGCAGCAGUGGGGAAUAUUGCACAAUGGGCGAAAGCCUGAUGCAGCAACGCCGCGUGAGCGAUGAAGGCCUUCGGGUCGUAAAGCUCUGUCCUCAAGGAAGAUAAUGACGGUACGUGAGGAGGAAGCCCCGGCUAACUACGUGCCAGCAGCCGCGGUAAUACGUAGGGGGCUAGCGUUAUCCGGAAUUACUGGGCGUAAAGGGUGCGUAGGUGGUUUCUUAAGUCAGAGGUGAAAGGCUACGGCUCAACCGUAGUAAGCCUUUGAAACUGGGGAACUUGAGUGCAGGAGAGGAGAGUGGAAUUCCUAGUGUAGCGGUGACAUGCGUAGAUAUUAGGAGGAACACCAGUUGCGAAGGCGGCUCUCUGGACUGUAACUGACACUGAGGCACGAAAGCGUGGGGAGCAAACAGGAUUAGAUACCCGAGUAGUC
rnacentral:rRNA from 1 species